rnacentral:rRNA from 1 species
ACGAACGCUGGCGGCGUGCCUAAUACAUGCAAGUCGAACGCUUCUUUCCUCCCGAGUGCUUGCACUCAAUUGGAAAGAGGAGUGGCGGACGGGUGAGUAACACGUGGGUAACCUACCCAUCAGAGGGGGAUAACACUUGGAAACAGGUGCUAAUACCGCAUAACAGUUUAUGCCGCAUGGCAUAAGAGUGAAAGGCGCUUUCGGGUGUCGCUGAUGGAUGGACCCGCGGUGCAUUAGCUAGUUGGUGAGGUAACGGCUCACCAAGGCCACGAUGCAUAGCCGACCUGAGAGGGUGAUCGGCCACACUGGGACUGAGACACGGCCCAGACUCCUACGGGAGGCAGCAGUAGGGAAUCUUCGGCAAUGGACGAAAGUCUGACCGAGCAACGCCGCGUGAGUGAAGAAGGUUUUCGGAUCGUAAAACUCUGUUGCUAGAGAAGAACAAGGACGUUAGUAACUGAACGUCCCCUGACGGUAUCUAACCAGAAAGCCACGGCUAACUACGUG